GAAACACUGGAGGCACUCAAGCUAAAAUUCCUCAGGCUUAAACCUGAUUAAACUAGAGGCAUAGAUUGUUCUAUCAAUAGGCCUCAACUGUGGAACAUGACACUCUCUUUUUGGUUUGAUAAAACCCCGAAUGUGCUCAUCUUCCAGAACAAUCAAAAAGUUUACAGUCCAUAUUUUUAAAGGUAUUUAGGCUUUAAAGAAGCAGAUCGGUGCCUAGUGGAAAAACAACUCAGUGAAAUCAAUGGGAGGAAUGAACAUGGAUUAUGAUUUAAAAGACAUCUUUGUUCAACAAGAUGAAGCAAGUUUCAAAACCUAGAUAAAAAAGUUAAUGUCCACCAUGAAAAUGUCAUCUCCAAGCACCAGGAUAUAAUGAGCUUGAAUGGCUUCAUCAGACGCUAUAAAGAUAUUUGCUUUGGAAGACCAUACCCAGGGACCACACAUUAAAAAAGAAUGUCACAAUCAAGUACUUGUGAAAACUGUAAUGCAAUUAAGAGAAAAGAGACUGCACAAUCACUGCUUAAAGCAUUAAGUCUGUGGAAUGUCUGAACACUUGAAUAUGACAAAAUAAGCAGAAGACAAGACCAAGUUUUUUUAAUAAAUGAAGGGUUUAAUCCUAAAAGGCAUUUUUCAGAAUCAGGCCUUCUAUCGUUAGGCAUUAUCAGUCUUCCGUUACAAGUUAAGUGAUGUCAGUAACAUUUUGUUCUGCCAGGUGACGGUGCUAUUGUGUAAUACCAGUACUGUAAAUGAUCUUGUAUAAAAGCUGUUGUUGUAACUUG